GAUGAAGAACGCAGCGAAAUGCGAUACUUGGUGUGAAUUGCAGAAUCCCGUGAACCAUCGAGUUUUUGAACGCAAGUUGCGCCCGAUGCCAUUAGGUUGAGGGCACGUCUGCCUGGGUGUCACAUAUCGAAUCCCCUUGCCAAUUUCCUAUUUAUUAGGUAUUGCGUGCAGGGUGAAUAUGUUGGCCUCCCGUGAGCUCUGUCUCGUGGUUGGUUGAAAAUUGAGACCUUGGUAGGGUGUGCCAUGAUAGAUGGUGGAUGUGUGACCCACGAGACCAAAUCAUGUGCAGCUCUAUUGAACGUGGACUCUUUUACCCACAUGUGUUUUAUAACGCUCGUGAUGAGACCUCAGGUCAGGCGGGGCUACCCGCUGAAUUUAAGCAUAUCAAUAAGCGGAGGA
rnacentral:misc_RNA from 1 species